CCCUUAGAUGUUCUGGGCAGCACGCGCGCUACACUGAUGCACUCAACGAGUUUACGACCUUGCCCGAUAGGGUUGGGUAAUCUUUUUAAAAUGCAUCGUGAUGGGGAUAGAUUAUUGCAAUUAUUAAUCUUCAACGAGGAAUUCCUAGUAAGCGCGAGUCAUCAGCUCGUGCUGAUUACGUCCCUGCCCUUUGUACACACCGCCCGUCGCUCCUACCGAUUGAGUGCUCAGGUGAAUAAUUCGGACUGCAGCAAUGUUUGGAUCCCGAACGUUGCAGCGGAAAGUUUAGUGAACCUUAUCACUUAGAGGAAGGAGAAGUCGUAACA
rnacentral:rRNA from 1 species